rnacentral:rRNA from 1 species
CUACGUGCCAGCAGCCGCGGUAAUACGUAGGGCGCGAGCGUUGUCCGGAAUUAUUGGGCGUAAAGAGCUUGUAGGCGGUUGGUCGCGUCUGCUGUGAAAGGCUGGGGCUUAACCCUGGUUUUGCAGUGGGUACGGGCUAACUAGAGUGCAGUAGGGGAGACUGGAAUUCCUGGUGUAGCGGUGGAAUGCGCAGAUAUCAGGAGGAACACCGAUGGCGAAGGCAGGUCUCUGGGCUGUAACUGACGCUGAGAAGCGAAAGCAUGGGGAGCGAACAGGAUUAGAUACCCUGGUAGUCCAUGCCGUAAACGUUGGGCACUAGGUGUGGGGGACAUUCCACGUUUUCCGCGCCGUAGCUAACGCAUUAAGUGCCCCGCCUGGGGAGUACGGCCGCAAGGCUAAAACUCAAAGGAAUUGACGGGGGCCCGCACAAGCGGAGGAACAUGUGGUUUAAUUCGAUGAUACGCGAGGAACCUUACCCGGGCUUGAA